UACGAAGGGGGCUAGCGUUGCUCGGAUUGACUGGGCGUAAAGGGCGCGUAGGCGGGUUCGUACAGUCGAGACGUGAAAUUCCUGGGCUCAACCUGGGGGCUGCGUUUGAUACGUGCGGACUUGAGUGCGGAAGAGGGUCGUGGAAUUCCCAGUGUAGAGGUGAAAUUCGUGAGAUAUUGGGAAGAACACCGGUGGCGAAGGCGGCGACCUGGGCCAAUACUGACGCUGAGGUGCGAAAGCGUGGGGAGCAAACAGG
rnacentral:rRNA from 1 species